UUGUUCAGAAAGUGUGAAAAUACUGGAUAUCUGAACAAACAUGAUUAAGGAGUGCUUUCUCUUCAUGGAGAUCAUGUAUGAAGUUGGAUGCUCUUAAACUGAAUGAUUCAUAUUACUUCCAGAUUUGCAGGUGUUUUAUAUUGUUGCUUGCAGAUCAGACUAAUAUCUGUCUUCCUCUGUUCAUUACAACAGAAUCAGAUCAAGGUUCUGGUAAUUUAGUACCCGCAGUACCUGUGGCUGUCCUGCUGGUCCUGGCUGUUGGUGUUGGUGUGACCUAUUGGUGCUACAGGAAGAAUAAACCAAGAAAAAGGAAUGCAAGUAUUACACAUGAAAAAGUAAAGAUGAUGAUUUAAAUUUCAGAGAGGGACUGAUGCAGGAUGAGAAGAAUAGAUCAGAAGAAAUUUGAGGUUGGGUUUUAAAGACACAAUUUGGGCCCAGAGGGUGGAGCUCCUAUAAGUAAUAUUUACAAAUAGUUGUAUUUUCUAUACCUAUUGUUAUAUCUUUUUCAGUCAGUGUAUGGCUGGAAUAAAAAUAUUUAGCAUAAAUUAAAAUAAUGUAUAAUUAUAGAAUACAUCUCAAGAUUUUAUGUAUAAAAUACCAAUUUUCCCUGUUAACUAGUUGCUAAUUAACAUACUAGCAAGUUCUGACCAAUAUCUCUCUGAUCAGU